AAUGUACCAAUGGCUCAGGCCUUCGUCAACUAAUUCUUCUUAAAUUUAGAACUUCAUCCCAAUAACUUAUUAGAAAAAAAAGAAAGUAGAAUAGGUUCUAUGGAAUUAAAACAAGAAAAAGAAGUCGAGUAGCUAUAAAUUUGCAACAUAUUCAGAGAGGUGAUUUUAACAAGGAAAUUAUUUGACUAAAUGUCUUUACUUAAAAAGAAAACUAAACCUAAUUUUAUAUACUUUGUAUGAAACUCCCUUCUUGGACUUUACUCCGCUUGUUUUAGAAUUCGACAGAAGCAGAAAGAAGGUGGUACAUACUCUCCUCAGGAUGCAGAAAUUAUUGACACUAAAUUGAAGCUGGAUCAGCUCAUCACAGUGGCAGACCUGGAACUGAAGGACGAGAGAUUAACGCGGCCAAUAAGCAAGAAAUCCUUCCUGCAACAUGUUGAAGAGCUUUGCACAAACAACAACCUAAAGUUUCAAGAAGAAUUUUCGGAAUUACCAAAAUUUCUUCAGGAUCUUUCUUCAACUGAUGCUGAUCUGCCUUGGAAUAGAGCAAAAAACCGCUUCCCAAAC
rnacentral:sRNA from 1 species